rnacentral:rRNA from 1 species
AGAGUCUGAUCCUGGCUCAGGAUGAACGCUGGCGGUAUGCCUAACACAUGCAAGUCGAACGAAGUCUUCGGACUUAGUGGCGGACGGGUGAGUAACGCGUGAGAAUCUGCCUUCAGGAUGGGGAUAACAGUGGGAAACCACUGCUAAUACCCAAUAUGCCGAAAGGUGAAAAUUAUUUUGCCUGAAGAGGAGCUCGCGUCUGAUUAGCUAGUUGGUGGGGUAAAAGCUUACCAAGGCAACGAUCAGUAGCUGGUCUGAGAGGAUGAGCAGCCACACUGGGACUGAGACACGGCCCAGACUCCUACGGGAGGCAGCAGUGGGGAAUUUUCCGCAAUGGGCGAAAGCCUGACGGAGCAAUACCGCGUGAGGGAGGAAGGCCUUUGGGUUGUAAACCUCUUUUCUCAGGGAAGAAGAUCUGACGGUACCUGAGGAAUAAGCAUCGGCUAACUCCGUGCCAGCAGCCGCGGUAACACGGAGGAUGCAAGCGUUAUCCGGAAUCAUUGGGCGUAAAGCGUCCGCAGGUGGUUUUUCAAGUCUGCUGUCAAAGACCAGAGCUCAACUCUGGGCCGGCAGUGGAAACUGGGAAACUAGAGUUCGGUAGGGGUAGCGGGAAUUCCCAGUGUAGCGGUGAAAUGCGUAGAUAUUGGGAAGAACAUCGGUGGCGAAGGCGCGCUACUGGACCGAAACUGACACUCAGGGACGAAAGCUAGGGUAGCGAAAGGGAUUAGAUACCCCUGUAGUCCUAGCUGUAAACGAUGGAAACUAGGUGUGGCUUGUAUCGACCCGAGCCGUGCCGUAGCUAACGCGUUAAGUUUCCCGCCUGGGGAGUACGCACGCAAGUGUGAAACUCAAAGGAAUUGACGGGGGCCCGCACAAGCGGUGGAGUAUGUGGUUUAAUUCGAUGCAACGCGAAGAACCUUACCAGGGCUUGACAUGUCCGGAACUUUCCUGAAAGGGAAAGGCGCCUUCGGGAACCGGAACACAGGUGGUGCAUGGCUGUCGUUAGCUCGUGUCGUGAGAUGUUGGGUUAAGUCCCGCAACGAGCGCAACCCUCGUCUUUAGUUGCCAGCAUUAAGGUGGGCACUUUAGAGAGACUGCCGGUGACAAACCGGAGGAAGGUGGGGAUGACGUCAAGUCAGCAUGCCCCUUACGCCCUGGGCUACACACGUACUACAAUGGUUGGGACAAAGGGCAGCGAACCCGCGAGGGAAAGCGAAUCUCAUCAAACCCAGCCUCAGUUCAGAUUGCUCUCUGCAACUCGAGAGCAUGAAGGAGGAAUCGCUAGUAAUCGCAGGUCAGCAUACUGCGGUGAAUUCGUUCCCGGGCCUUGUACACACCGCCCGUCACACCAUGGAAGCUGGUCACGCCCGAAGUAGUUACCU